GUCCAUUGAUCCUAGUUUCUAUUGCAGUCAGUCAGAGCAUUUCCAUAGAGCCACUUUGCAUCAGCAGCUCCAUGCUCCAGCGCUCUGGGAGAGUUUAUAGUCCUGACAGUUGAACACUGGAUGACUGACAGCUGUCCUUCAUCACAACAGAAGACACAGAAAUCCUCCUCAUCACAAACAUGACUUUGAUCUGCAUCCUCAUCUGGACUCUCCUCUGCUGCUGCUUCACAGAGGUCAGAGGUCAGGUCAGAGUGACUCAGCAGCCUGCAGCAGUGAGAGCUGGACUGGGAGGAUCUGUCACCAUCAACUGUAGAACCAGUCAAAAUGUUCAUGUUCACCUCAGCUCCUUCCCUUGUUUAGCAUGGUAUCAACAGAAAGAUGGACAAACUCCUAAGAUUCUCAUUUAUCUUUCUAGCACUAAAGAAUCAGGGACUCCAAGUCGUUUUUCAGGCAGUGGAUCACAUUCUGACUUCACUCUGACCAUCAGUGGAGUUCAGGCUGAAGAUGCUGCAGUUUAUUACUGUCAGAGUUACCACAACGUCAACAAUCAGUGGGUGUUCCCACAGUGAAAAUGUCUCGUACAAAAACCUCCCAGUCAAACUGAACAGGAACUGAAAUGACUGAAAAAGCUGCAAUAGCAACUAACUGCAAAUACAAGCAGACUUUUUAUGUAGCAGAUUAUGCUUUUCAAAUUUACUUAAAACAUCAACUUCAAUUUUAACUGAGUCCUCAUCUAGACUCUUAGUCUUUUCCAUAACAGUGAUAAUGUAGGUUAUGUAUGCUUAAAAAAUCCCACCUGACUGAAUCAUAUCAGCAAAACC